rnacentral:rRNA from 1 species
UACAGAGGUGGCAAGCGUUGUUCGGAAUUACUGGGCGUAAAGGGCGCGUAGGCGGCUUGGUCAGUCCCGUGUGAAAUCCCUCGGCUCAACUGAGGAACUGCACGGGAAACUGCCUGGCUUGAGUUCGGGAGAGGGAAGCGGAAUUCCGGGUGUAGCGGUGAAAUGCGCAGAUAUCGGGAAGAACACCCGUGGCGAAGGCGGCUUUCUGGGACGGUACUGACGCUGAGGCGCGACAGCGUGGGGAGCAAACAGG